rnacentral:lncRNA from 1 species
AGAAGGAGGAGGACACACCCCGGGGCCAAAAGCCAGGCAGCCGCCAGCCAAGCAUAGCAACAGCAGGAAGGCGAGAUAUAUAGAAGGAGAGAAAGCACCGAGAGCUCCAGGAAAGCAGGGCCCUUACCCUCCUGUGAUCUGACCCCAAGCCGAUGUGGUUUGCAUCUGGGAAACUCAAUCCCCAGUCAGCCUCUUGGGAGUGGACAUGGGACCUGUUGUGUUGACGCUGCUAAUGCUCAUGGCACAUACCUAUAGUCGCAGCUAUCCAGGAUUGCAAAUCAAGGCCUGCCCGGCUACACACGAGUUCAAGGCCAACCAGUGUAACUUGG